rnacentral:lncRNA from 1 species
CCACCCUCUGGGUACCAAGGCAGGACACCUGGUCUCCCCCUCUGUGUGAGGUCCCUGGCUGUGUGAGACUUUUGUGGUCUGCCUUACAGCCUGGGCAGAGUCCUGCCAGGCCAAGGGGAGAUGCGGCAUGGACCGGAGGCCACGGACCAUGUGGAGGGCCACGGUGGGCAUGGUGGUGCAGGGGAACGGGGUCCCCACCCUCUUGGCACAGGCAUCCGGUCUGGACACCCCCCUGGAGGCACAGUCCUCCUGCAGACGUUGCCUGCUGCUGACCAGCCUGGGAUUUAUGGAGAGGGCCUCGUGGGGCAGCUCUGAAUACUGCCGGGCCCAACAUCACUGCCACACGUGCUGCUGA